rnacentral:rRNA from 1 species
GGGUUGUGAGGUUAAGCGACUAAGCGUACACGGUGGAUGCCCUGGCAGUCAGAGGCGAUGAAGGACGUGCUAAUCUGCGAUAAGCGUCGGUAAGGUGAUAUGAACCGUUAUAACCGGCGAUUUCCGAAUGGGGAAACCCAGUGUGWUUCGWCACACUAUCAUUAACUGAAUCCAUAGGUUAAUGAGGCGAACCGGGGGAACUGAAACAUCUAAGUACCCCGAGGAAAAGAAAUCAACCGAGAUUCCCCCAGUAGCGGCGAGCGAACGGGGAGGAGCCCAGAGCCUGAAUCAGUGUGUGUGUUAGUGGAAGCGUCUGGAAAGGCGCGCGAUACAGGGUGACAGCCCCGUACACAAAAAUGCACAUGCUGUGAGCUCGAUGAGUAGGGCGGGACACGUGGUAUCCUGUCUGAAUAUGGGGGGACCAUCCUCCAAGGCUAAAUACUCCUGACUGACCGAUAGUGAACCAGUACCGUGAGGGAAAGGCGAAAAGAACCCCGGCGAGGGGAGUGAAAAAGAACCUGAAACCGUGUACGUACAAGCAGUGGGAGCACAGAGCAAUCUGUGUGACUGCGUACCUUUUGUAUAAUGGGUCAGCGACUUAUAUUCUGUAGCAAGGUUAACCGAAUAGGGGAGCCGAAGGGAAACCGAGUCUUAACUGGGCGUUAAGUUGCAGGGUAUAGACCCGAAACCCGGUGAUCUAGCCAUGGGCAGGUUGAAGGUUGGGUAACACUAACUGGAGGACCGAACCGACUAAUGUUGAAAAAUUAGCGGAUGACUUGUGGCUGGGGGUGAAAGGCCAAUCAAACCGGGAGAUAGCUGGUUCUCCCCGAAAGCUAUUUAGGUAGCGCCUCGUGAAUUCAUCUCCGGGGGUAGAGCACUGUUUCGGCAAGGGGGUCAUCCCGACUUACCAACCCGAUGCAAACUGCGAAUACCGGAGAAUGUUAUCACGGGAGAC